UCUUAGCCUGUGCACAGCAUCCUAGUGGCUGUACCUGCUGGGGCCCUCCUGCUACCCCUCAUCCUGCAGUUGUUCUUCAAUGGAGUGGUCAUGGGCAUAGCCAGGCAACCCUAUGAGGACCAGGUAAGUGGUCUGAGUGCGUGUGUCCUUGACUGUGUGGAGGCAUCUUGUACCUCUGCAAUUAGGCACUUUGUGUGCUUUCUCACUGCCCUUGGCCCUGAUGUUGCUUCAUGAGUCCUUCGAGACCCACCUCUGAAGAUGCAACUCAGAUAUCUCUAUACCCUGGAGCAUUGGUGGCCAUUCUCCCUCUGGGUGCAUUGCAUUGAAAGCCUACUGUGUGCUAGGUGGCAGUUACUUUGAGGGAUGGGUGUAGAGAUGAGUAAGUAUGUCAUGCACUUGUGUUGAUCAGCAACCUGCAAUCAGAAUAACAGCGGGAGACUCCCAGGAACACUGAGAAGAGGGGUCAGUCCUGAGUGGUGUAACAGACUGGAAGAGACUGGGGUUUUGGUGAAGCCCAUGCUGUAGAGUAGAACAUGCCACUCUCUGUGUCCUGUGUGCUUUUGGAGAGGAGACAGGAGGGCAUUGACUGGUGGAGGUACAAUUUUGCAGAAAGGCCCAGAAACCUGAAAGUAGGGUAUUAACAGAAUGAUGAAGAAGCAGAUCUAGUUCAAGCACAAGGUGGUAUGACAUUUACUCCAAGUCGGUCAAGAUUAGAAAGACCCAGAAUGUCAAGUGUGGAAUGUAGUUUUCAAGUAGUGGAAACCUGGGAGCCAUGGUAAAAUUUUGUAAAAAUGUCAAUAAUUGAGGGUAAUUACAAAUAGUAGAAUUCACCCUUUUUAGUCUCUAGUUAGGGAUUUUGACAAAUGACAUCCUGUACUCUCCACCAAGAUCAAGGUUAACCAGUUUCAUUACCCCAGAAAAUCCUUUCAUCUCUUGUUGUCACAUUCUCUCCCUAAGUCCUUGCUGGUGUUUCUCUUUCCAGAAUCAUGCAUAAAUGGUGUUGUGGGCUUUCUAGUGUGGCUUCAUUCACUGAGCACAAUACAUUUGAGAUUCAUCUAUGUAGUUGCUCAUAUCAGUAGUUUAUUGUCUUUUGUUUCUGUGUAGUAUUGUAUUUCCCUACAGAUUAUUUAUACAUUCACCAAUUGAAGGAUUUUUACUUUGCAUCUAGUUUUGGCAGUGUUUUUGUUGGUCUAUUUUGUUUUGUUUUUGUACCAAAAAUUGAUCCCCGAUGUGCUUAACCACUGAGCAACAUUCCCUGACCCCUCCACCACCACCACCACCACCCGCACCCUUAUGUUUUCUUUUUGAAAAAUUUAAAAAAUUUUGAGAAAGUGUCUUACUAACAACGAAUUCCGGAACAAUUC
rnacentral:lncRNA from 1 species